rnacentral:rRNA from 1 species
CCCUAACGUUCGGGCCGCACGCGCGCUACACUGACGGAGCCAGCGAGUAUUAACCUUGGCCGAGAGGUCUGGGAAAUCUUGUGAAACUCCGUCGUGCUGGGGAUAGAGCAUUGUAAUUAUUGCUCUUCAACGAGGAAUUCCUAGUAAGCGCAAGUCAUCAGCUUGCGUUGAUUACGUCCCUGCCCUUUGUACACACCGCCCGUCGCUACUACCGAUUGAAUGGCUUAGUGAGGCCUCCGGAUUGGUUUAAAGAAGGGGGCAACUCCAUCUUGGAACCGAAAAGCUGGUCAAACUUGGUCAUUUAGAGGAAGUAAAAGUCGUAACAAGGUUUCCGUAGGUGAACCUGCGGAAGGAUCAUUACAGUAUUCUUUUGCCAGCGCUUAACUGCGCGGCGAAAAACCUUACACACAGUGUCUUUUUGAUACAGAACUCUUGCUUUGGUUUGGCCUAGAGAUAGGUUGGGCCAGAGGUUUAACAAAACACAAUUUAAUUAUUUUUACAGUUAGUCAAAUUUUGAAUUAAUCUUCAAAACUUUCAACAACGGAUCUCUUGGUUCUCGCAUCGAUGAAGAACGCAGCGAAAUGCGAUAAGUAAUAUGAAUUGCAGAUUUUCGUGAAUCAUCGAAUCUUUGAACGCACAUUGCGCCCUCUGGUAUUCCAGAAGGCAUGCCUGUUUGAGCGUCAUUUCUCUCUCAAACCCCCGGGUUUGGUAUUGAGUGAUACUCUUAGUCGGACUAGGCGUUUGCUUGAAAAGUAUUGGCAUGGGUAGUACUAAAUAGUGCUGUCGACCUCUCAUGUAUUAGGUUUAUCCACCCCUUGAAGGGGGGCGGGAUAUUUUGGAUUGUGGCCGGCUUCACACCCACAGUUGACUCAAUCGGGGGAUCCCCUGACUUACCUUCAUA